GAUGAACGCUGGCGGCGUGCCUAAUACAUGCAAGUCGAGCGAACAGACGAGGAGCUUGCUCCUCUGACGUUAGCGGCGGACGGGUGAGUAACACGUGGAUAACCUACCUAUAAGACUGGGAUAACUUCGGGAAACCGGAGCUAAUACCGGAUAAUAUAUUGAACCGCAUGGUUCAAUAGUGAAAGACGGUUUUGCUGUCACUUAUAGAUGGAUCCGCGCCGCAUUAGCUAGUUGGUAAGGUAACGGCUUACCAAGGCAACGAUGCGUAGCCGACGUGAGAGGGUGAUCGCCCCCACGAGACCUGGACCCCCCCCAGUCCCCCUCCGGGAGGCACCAGUAGGGAUUCUGCCGCAAUGGUCGAAACCCUUGCGAAGCCACCCCGCGUGAGUGAUGAAGUUCUUGGGUCCGAAAACCUUUUUUAUUGGUGAAAAACAAUUUUGUAAGUACCUGUGCACUUCUUGACGGUACCUAAUCAAAAAGCCCCGGCUAACUACGUG
rnacentral:rRNA from 1 species